CUGCUGCCUCCCGUAGGAGUCUGGUCCGUGUCUCAGUACCAGUGUGGUGGACCUUCCUCUCAGAACCCCUACGCAUCGUCGGUUAGGUGGGCCGUUACCCCGCCUACUGCCUAAUGCGCCGCAUGCCCAUCCCUGUCCGGCCGAAGCCUUUCCUGCCUCCGGGAUGCCCCGGUGGCAUGUACGCGGGUUUAGCCCGCCUUUCGGCGGGUUGUCCCCCUGACAGGGGCAGGUUGCAUACGUGUUACUCACCCGUGCGCCGGUCGCCGGCGGAGAAAG
rnacentral:rRNA from 1 species